rnacentral:lncRNA from 1 species
AAGAUGUUAUACUUCACAGUAAGGGCUAGUUUCUAAACAUGAAAGAACACAUAGCUUAUGUAACAUGACAUUUGUUGGAGAAUAUGCCCUAGAAAAUCAUGAUAUCACAGAUAUAUACUAAAUAUCUGAAGGAGAUUACGGAGAAAACAUUUCCAGCGGAGGAGUUCUUUAAUAUAGACAGAGCUUGUUUCAGAAUUGGUAUCUUCCUGAAUAUUUGGCUGCUUGGAAAAAGUUACAUUGGUGCCGGGAUUCAGCCCUUGCCUGGACAGAGGUGGCCGCUAGAGUCAUCAGCAUGGACACUGGCACCAGUGACUACAUAGGUCCCAGGAUCGUAGCCAGCCACCUCGGGUGCCUCCGGAGACCACUUGAGAAGUGCAGAGACUGUGGGCCAGCCCCUCAUUCUUGUCUGAGACAGUGAUGCCCUCCCCACUCAGUAAUUAUGCACAGCUAGCAGAGCUCUGAAAUGAAUGGCUUCAUUUAAUCACAAAAGAAGGAAUACCAGCAAGACCACCCAGGCCCCAGCUCCGGUUUUUCCUGAAGAAUUUGGCCGCAUCUCCCUUUUUGAAGGCAGAGUUUCAUCUUGCUCCAGGGAGAAGCAACUUCCUGGGCAUGCGUGUUAAGAGACAAAAAAUGAUGACGUUUGAUGACCACUCCACCAGAAAAGGGAAGAAAGCCUGAGGGGCCUGCGUGGACCUCCCUAAACACACUGCGCAUGCUCCAUUCCAAACGGUAUGGCGAGCACUGCGCAUGCGGGAAACCCACCCUGUAAGGGAAGAAUCCUGGGAAAGAGGCAAGCCUAUGAAGUCCCAGGAUCAAGAUGGGACCAUCUAGUUGCAGGAAAACAAGCUGAGUGAGGAUUCCCACUGAUUCUAUACUAUGAUCAUACCAAUCACCUCUGAGAAGCCCAAUCACUACAACCACUAACCACAACAUAAAUCAACGUGAGGACCUGAGAGCUCGCUUGCUCCCACUCUGUCCCUAGCCCAGCCUGGUUUUUCCAUCACAUGCUUCUUAGGCAGCAGGGAGCUGAGGCAGGGGGAACAUUUAGUUCCUUUUUCAAAGACUGGGAACACUUAAAAAUAUCUCCAAGUAAGCAACCAGCAUUCAGAGGAUGCUUAUUUACACUUUGUAGGAGCCUGGUGUUGGGACUCUGGCUCCUGGAUGGCGUCAAACCUGCCCUUGGGCUUGGCCGAGGCUGGUCUGGGAGUACCAUUUGCAAAUGGCUCUUGCUUCACGGUUGCAUCUCCAUCUGGGUAAACAACCUAGCGACAGCGCUGGCUCUUCUUAAGGCUGUCUGUUAUGGACUGAACUGUGUCCCUCUCAGAUUCACUUGUUAAAGUCCUGACCCCAGUACACCUCAGAAUGUGACUGUAUAUAGAAAUAGGGCAUGUAAAGCAGUCAUGACGGUUAAGUAAGGUCAUAUGGAUUGGCUCUAGUUCAAACGUGACUGGUAUCCUUCUAAGAAGAGGAAGAGACACCAGAGCUCACUCUCUUUCCACGCACACAAUGGCCAUGUGAGCACACUGUGAGAAGAUGCCAUCCGCAAGCCAAGAAGAGAGGCCUUGGGAGAAACCAAACCUGCUGUCACCUUGAUCUUGGACUUCCAGCCUCAAGAACUGUGAGAAAAUAAAUUUCUGCUGUUUAUUCCACCC